UGCAAUUUAAAAUAAUUUUUUAAUUUUAAGGACUUCAACAUAAAGAAAAUGGCCCUGCAAAUUUCAUAAAAAAUACAGAAUUAUCCUCAGAUUUUUAUGGAUCAAGUGGUUGUGAUACAUCAUAUUAUAGUUCAGAUGAGGAAUCCAAAGAUAUUAAUUCAUUAAAUGAUUCAACGACAUCCAUAACUCAUUCUUAUUAUUCUAAUUAUUUUAAUUCUGAAAAUAUUUCUGAAAAAUCAUCAAUAUUAUCACAUAUUAGUGAAAAUUCAUAUGAUUAUUCUGAAGCACAAUCAUUCAAGAAAUAUAAUCUAAGACCACGUAAAAGUAAACAUAUGAAAGAAUCUUUUAUUAAACAAGAAACAUUUCCUACAAAAAAGUGUGUGUGACUGUAAAUAUUAUGUAGAAAGAUUAUGUAAUUUUUUAUUUCACUUGUAUAGAUUUUCUUAGUAUAUUUUAUUCACAUUUUUUUUAUUUGAUUUAGUAUAUAAUAUGUGAUGUGAUGAUUUAACUUUACUGUACAGAAAUAAAUUACAAAUAUUUAAUUAAUUUACUGUUGAAAACCAGGUGUUCUGUAAGAAAAUACUAACUGGGAGCAUAUUUCCAUUAAUUUAAAUGGAAAAAAAUUAUAAUGUAUUACAAUAUCAACUAAUAUGCUAAAACAUAAAUAAAACAUAUAAGUUAAGUAACAAAUCAUAUUAUUUGGUGAUUGAUAACAGUUUCUGUGUAUGUAGUAACAUAUACUAGUACAGUUUCUAUGCCACAACCAUAAAUAUUAUAUUUACAGCAUGGCACAGCAAAUAGCAUACAACAAUAAAGAAAUUUUUUUGUAGUAAACUAUUACUCACUAAUUGAGGUGAAGACUUAAAGCUUCAAGAAAACACUCUUUCCAAAACAUCUACAAAUGAUUCUGAUACAAGGCACAUUCAAUAGAAAACUGGAAAAGUGCCAUAAAAAAUUGGGAGGAUGAGCAAUAGUAUAGUAAUUUUGACACACAAAACUUCCAAGUCAGAGGCAACAGUAACUGUGACUGGCAACACUAUUGAUGUGUAAAGAUGUAAGAUCAUGGACUGACAUAAUGCCUCUCCAGCAGUGCAUGAAGCAAGAGCAGUGUAAUGUUGUCCAAUUUUUGACAAAACUCAAUCAACAUCCAUUGGCACAUGAAGGUACUGUACAUUAAG